CAACUUUCAGCAAUGGAUCUCUUGGCUCUCGCAUCGAUGAAGAACGCAGCGAAAUGCGAUAAGUAAUGUGAAUUGCAGAAUUCAGUGAAUCAUCGAAUCUUUGAACGCACCUUGCGCUCCUUGGUAUUCUGAGGAGCAUGCCUGUUUGAGUGUCAUU
rnacentral:rRNA from 1 species